UACGUAUGGUGCAAGCGUUAAUCGGAAUUACUGGGCGUAACGCGUGCGCAGGCGGUUUUGUAAGUCUGUCGUGAAAGCCCCGGGCUCAACCUGGGAAUUGCGAUGGAGACUGCAAGGCUUGAAUCUGGCAGAGGGGGGUAGAAUUCCACGUGUAGCAGUGAAAUGCGUAGAGAUGUGGAGGAACACCGAUGGCGAAGGCAGCCCCCUGGGUCAAGAUUGACGCUCAUGCACGAAAGCGUGGGGAUCAAACAGG
rnacentral:rRNA from 1 species